UAAUACGAAGGGACCUAGCGUAGUUCGGAAUUACUGGGCUUAAAGAGUUCGUAGGUGGUUAAAAAAGUUGGUGGUGAAAUCCCAGAGCUUAACUCUGGAACUGCCAUCAAAACUUUUUAGCUAGAGUAUGAUAGAGGAAAGCAGAAUCUCUAGUGUAGAGGUGAAAUUCGUAGAUAUUAGAAAGAAUACCAAUUGCGAAGGCAGCUUUCUGGAUCAUUACUGACACUGAGGAACGAAAGCAUGGGUAGCGAAGAGGAUUAGAUACCCUCGUAGUCCAUGCCGUAAACGAUGUGUGUUAGAUGUUGGAAAUUUAUUUUCAGUAUCGCAGCGAAAGCAAUAAACACACCGCCUGGGGAGUACGACCGCAAGGUUA
rnacentral:rRNA from 1 species